GCAGGUACAGGACAACCAGUGAAUGCAACUGGAUGCUUGCUGGUACACGCGCCACCUGCUACAGGGUGGUAAUUCUAACCUCAUCAGGACUAGGCGCUGCCACCACCAAAAGCAUUGGCAGACAGAAAGUGGGAUGAGAAAGAGCCGGAUCAGCAGCAUCUCUGCCAGCAGCCCCAUCUGGCCCUCUUGGCCUUGUAGACUCCACACCCAGCAUGGAGCCCAACGUGGAACUUAAACUUACAACCAUGAGAUCAAGACCUGAGCUGAGAUCAAAAGUUGGACACUUACCUGACUGAGACACCAAGUCCUCCAGCAAAUAUUUGAAACACCAUCAUAUUUUGAGUACUGGCACAGGAUAAAAUGAUACAGAUGUAAUAGAAAUGGUUCUCAUAUGCAAUCAGAAGAUGGAGUUUAAGUCCUAGCUCUGUCAUUUAUCACUAUGUGAUCUAGGGCAAGUUAUUUAAUGUCUCUGAUUCCUAGUUUCCAAUGCUAUACUGUAUUUGAAGGUACUUAGUAAUGCCUACCAUAACAUAUUCAAUAAAUGUCCAUUUCUUUCUA